rnacentral:miRNA from 1 species
GAUAUUCGACGUCAUAGACACCAUCAAGUUUGGUGUUUAUGACGUCGAUAUUCGACGUCAUAAACAGCAUCAAGUUUGGUGUUUAUGACGUCGAUAUUCGACGUCAUAAACACUAUCAAGUUUGGUGUAUUUGACGUCGAUAUUCGACGUCAUAAACACCAUCAAGUUUGGUGUUUAUGACGUCGAUAUUCGACGUCAUAAACACCAUCAAGUUUGGUGUUUAUGACGUCGAUAUUCGACGUCAUAAACACCAUCAAGUUUGGUGUUUAUGACGUCGAUAUUC